GACGAACGCUGGCGGCGUGGAUUAGGCAUGCAAGUCGAACGGUAGGAUACCUUCGGGUAUCUGAGAGUGGCGAACGGGUGAGUAACACGUAGGUGAUCUACCCUCAAGAUUGGGACAACCCAGGGAAACUUGGGCUAAUACCGGAUGAAAGCAGCAGUGAUGUUGUUUGAAAGGUGGCGUAAGCUGCCGUUUGGGGAUGAGCCUGCGCUCUAUUAGUUAGUUGGCGGGGUAAAGGCCCACCAAGGCGAUGAUAGAUAGGCGGCCUUAACGGGUGGUCGCCCACACUGGGAUUGAGAUACGGCCCAGACUCCUACGGGAGGCAGCAGUCGAGAAUAGUCUACAAUGGCCGAAAGGCUGAUAGUGCGACGCCGCGUGAACGAAGAAGCCCUUCGGGGUGUAAAGUUCUUUUAUAUGUGAGCAGUGCUUUCUAUGUGAACAGCAUGGGGGAAGAGAUAUUAGCAUAUGAAUAAGCAACGGCUAACUCCGUGCCAGCAC
rnacentral:rRNA from 1 species